GCAGUGAGGAAUUUUCCGCAAUGGGCGAAAGCCUGACGGAGCAAUACCGCGUGGAGGAUGACGGCCUGUGGGUCUUAAACUCCUUUUCUUAGAGAAGAAGUUCUGACGGUAUCUAAGGAAUAAGCAUCGGCUAACUCCGUGCCAGCAGCCGCGGUAAUACGGGGGAUGCAAGCGUUAUCCGGAAUGAUUGGGCGUAAAGCGUCUGUAGGUGGCUUUCCAAGUCAACUGUCAAAAAUCAGGGCUUAACCUUGAGUCGGCAGUUGAAACUAUGAAGCUUGAGUUAGGUAGGGGCAGAGGGAAUUCCUAGUGUAGCGGUGAAAUGCGUAGAUAUUAGGAAGAACACCAAUCGCGAAAGCACUCUGCUGGGCCAUGACUGACACUGAGAGACGAAAGCUAGGGGAGCGAAUGGGAUUAGAUACCCCAGUAGUCCUAGCCGUAAACGAUGGAUACUAAGUUCUGGUCGAUGAAACCCGUUCAGUUC
rnacentral:rRNA from 1 species